GUGGCUUAGCAGAGCUGACACAUGAAAGGACUGCAGUGGUAUGUGAACCAGGUUCAGGCUUGAAACCGUUUCUGUAGUUCAGUCCCAGAGAGCUGGAAUGAACAUUAACUCAGAAUUCAAUUACUCCCUCAUAAGCUCCAGUAGAGAUCCACUGGGAGACACUAUUACUAAACAAGAACACAAUGCUGCCCUUCUGGGGACAUCAUAGUAGGACACGCUUGUCCUCCUAAGCAUGCAUGUGUGGAUGGAAAACGUAAAAGACCUCCAGAUCUCAGCAGUGUGUUGUGUAAGCUUAUUGAAAGCUCUUCCCAUCCUUUCUAGAAACUUGGGAGCAAGUCCUGGUCCCAUAUGAACUGGUGGGAUCAGUUUCCUAAGCAUAUAGAAGCAUGCCCUGGGGAAUGUUCAUGCUGGAAAGGAAAAGGGUAGAGUAGGAUAAACAUAGAGGUCUUUAUUUUAUAGAAGGCAGUUUUUAGCUUCUAUGGGCAAGAGAUUUUCUAUUUACCUGUCCUUUGAUGGAGCAGAAACAAAAAUGAAGAAAAACAAUCUGCAGAUUGCUAAGUCUUUUUUUGGUAUGUGUCUUUCAGUGUAUCAGUUGGGGGAAGAACACAGACUAUCUUUACAGCACUGUAGAAGAAUAAUCUGCUUUUGGCCACAACUUGGAGUGUCUGAAGCUGGGAAUGCGCCAUGAGGCAUGCCAGUCAAACUGUCUUUUCUGAGUGUAGAAGGCAAGUUUCUUUCUGAGGGACCAGACUGGAGCUGUGACUGAGCUUCACAAGAGAGGAUGAUAGCUUCUUUCUCCAUGAUCUGCAACACUGUCAAU
rnacentral:lncRNA from 1 species